AGGACGAACGCUGGCGGCGUGCUUAACACAUGCAAGUCGAGCGGAAAGGCCUUUCGGGGUACUCGAGCGGCGAACGGGUGAGUAACACGUGAGUAACCUGCCCUUGGCUUUGGGAUAACCCUCGGAAACGGGGGCUAAUACCGAAUAUUCAUGUCUGCCGGCAUCGGUGGGUGUGGAAAGUUUUUCGGCCAGGGAUGGGCUCGCGGCCUAUCAGCUUGUUGGUGGGGUAAUGGCCUACCAAGGCGACGACGGGUAG
rnacentral:rRNA from 1 species